rnacentral:rRNA from 1 species
UACAGAGGGGGCAAGCGUUGUUCGGAAUUACUGGGCGUAAAGGGCGCGUAGGCGGCCACCUAAGUCAGACGUGAAAUCCCUCGGCUCAACCGGGGAACUGCGUCUGAUACUGGGCGGCUUGAAUUCGGGAGAGGAAUGCGGAAUUCCAGGUGUAGCGGUGAAAUGCGUAGAUAUCUGGAGGAACACCGGUGGCGAAGGCGGCAUCCUGGACCGGCAUUGACGCUGAGGCGCGAAAGCCAGGGGAGCAAACGGG